ACCAUUUACACAUGUGCAUAUAAAAUCUAAAUUUAAUCCCUGCCUACACCUUACAAACUAAGGAGAGUGCUAUUAAAUGUGUAAAGAAUAAAGUAUUCACAUGUCCUGUAAAUGUGUGAACUUCAUACAUGAAACGCACAUACACAUACAAUACAUAUUGAACAUUCAUGGAGUUACAUGAACAGUAGAAAUCGACCAUACUUUUUUGUAGUGAAGUUGCUGACUAACAUUAAAUUGCACACUGGAUACCUCAACAAGACAACGACCCCAAACACUGCUCAAAUUCUACUAAGGCAUUCAUCCAGAGGAACAAGUACAACGUUCUGGAAUGGCCAUCUCAGUCCCCAGACCUAAAUAUUAUUGAAAAUCUGUGGUGUGCUUUAAAGCGGGCUGUCCAUGCUCGGAAACCAUCAAACUUGACUGAAGUGGUGAUAUUUUGUCAAGUAGAAUGGUCAAAAAUACCUUCAACCAGAAUCCAGACUCUCAUUGGAAGCUAUAGAAAGUGUUUAGAGCAGGGGCUGUUAUUUCUGCAAAAGGAGGAUCUACUAAAUAUUGAUGUCGUUUUUCUGUUGGGGUGCCCAAAUUUAUGCAACUGCCUUCUUUUGUUCAAGUAACGAUUGCACACUUUCUGUAAAUCCUAUAAACUUCAUUUCACUUCUCAAAUAUCACUGUGUUUGUCUGCUAUAUAAUAUAUUUAACUGAAAUUGCUGAUCCGAACAACCAAUGAUUUAUAAAGGAAAAUCAUUAAAAUGAUCAGGGGUGCCUAAACCUUUGCACACGACU